rnacentral:lncRNA from 1 species
GUGAGAAAUGCACGCUGCUCGGAGGAGACUCCGACCUUGAGGAUGAGCGCCAAGGCACCGCAGCGCUGGCCCACCGUCGGAAACAAGGGUAAACCAGCCAGAUCUGCUUAGAAAGACAAACUAAAGUACAACAAAUUGAAGAAACUGAAAUAAUUUCUUUUUUUAGUCUCUGAUUCUGUAAAUAUGAAUGGGCUGUAAUGACAUGCAGAGGUGUGUAUGAGGUGCGUGUGAGGCGCGCAGCAGUGUUUCUCCCUUUGCUCCUGUCGGGUCGAGGUGUUUUGGGCUGAGCUCGGAGGGGACGCCGUGCCCUGCUCCGCGGCGUCUCUGGCCAUGCAGCCUGGCGGUGCUGAUCAUCACCGUGCAGGCGCUCCUCAUCAUCGCUCACCUGGAAACGCAUGGCAGGAUGGAGAAGCUGCAGCUUGAGCUGAACGAACUGCGGGGGACAGUUUUCAGAGCGGAGUUAAACAAAACAGAAGAAAAAACAUCAGAAAAUGCAGAAAAGAAUGAUAAACACCCCAUUUAUGAGAACCCCAGAACCCAGCAGAAACUCCAGAUGAUGGAAUCCAGCAUGGCACGCAUGAACCAGUAUCUGGUGUCCUUGAAGUCCAGUCAAGAUAGGUUCAAGAGUCGAGUGGAGCAGGAAUUAUCUCACGCGGUGGUAACCUGUACUUUAUCAAAAAGCCCUCCCUUUUUCUUUUUAUUUUUAUUUAUUUUCACACUAUGCUUUGUACACCGAACGAAUGUAAAAGAGGUCAUAUGGAAAGUGUACUGCUUCGGGCCCUCUUUCAAACGCAAAUUGUGGAGCAAGGCCUCGUCGCUCUUUGGCUGGAGUCAGUUCCUCUGCAGGAGGCCGUGUGUAACGUGUUUCACGUGUGUUGUUUUUUAUUAAGACCGCAAAGACCUCAUCACUGGCAUGACUCCCCUUACAGGAGAUGGCCUCCCUGCCUAGCAUUAUUCUUCGUGUGAACGAAACAUUUGCGGCUCAUCUGAUUUCUCUCAGGAGGGAAAUGAACCAUCUAAACGGUGCCAUUGUCAAUAUAACAAACAGAGUAUUUGUUUUGGAGGAAAAUGUACCUUCACAAAGACAGGUAAUAACAGUGCUGUUCGUGCUGUGCAUAUUUCACCCGUGUUAUGAAAACGAAGGCGCUUUAUGGUGCAUCGCUGCUAUCACUGGUAACUGAGGUUCACAUUUCUUUCUUUGCUUUAACUGCAAGAAUCGUACUUUCUCUGAUGUGAAGAAGAAGAAGAAUCAGAUCUCUACUUUUCUAGACAUCCCAGGCAAUUUGGACAUUAAAAUGACAAAGGUAUCGAUUACUUUUUCUGUAUAAUUUUGAUGUAAUUUUUUAAAAAGAAAAAAACUGA